rnacentral:rRNA from 1 species
GACGAACGCUGGCGGCGUGCUUAACACAUGCAAGUCGAGCGGAAAGGCCCUGCUUUUGUGGGGUGCUCGAGUGGCGAACGGGUGAGUAACACGUGAGUAACCUGCCCUUGACUUUGGGAUAACUUCAGGAAACUGGGGCUAAUACCGGAUAGGAGCUCCUGCUGCAUGGUGGGGGUUGGAAAGUUUCGGCGGGUGGGGAUGGACUCGCGGCUUAUCAGCUUGUUGGUGGGGUAGUGGCUUACCAAGGCUUUGACGGGUAGCCGGCCUGAGAGGGUGACCGGCCACAUUGGGACUGAGGUACGGCCCAGACUCCUACGGGAGGCAGCAGUGGGGAAUAUUGCACAAUGGGCGGAAGCCUGAUGCAGCAACGCCGCGUGCGGGAUGAAGGCCUUCGGGUUGUAAACCGCUUUCGCCUGUGACGAAGCGUGAGUGACGGUAAUGGGUAAAGAAGCACCGGCUAACUACGUG